AUUGAACGCUGGCGGCAUGCCUUACACAUGCAAGUCGAACGGUAACAGGUCUUCGGAUGCUGACGAGUGGCGAACGGGUGCGUAAUACAUCGGAACGUGCCCGAUCGUGGGGGAUAACGAAGCGAAAGCUUUGCUAAUACCGCAUACGAUCUACGGAUGAAAGCGGGGGAUCUUCGGACCUCGCGCGGACGGAGCGGCCGAUGGCAGAUUAGGUAGUUGGUGGGAUAAAAGCUUACCAAGCCGACGAUCUGUAGCUGGUCUGAGAGGAUGAUCAGCCACACUGGGACUGAGACACGGCCCAGACUCCUACGGGAGGCAGCAGUGGGGAAUUUUGGACAAUGGGCGCAAGCCUGAUCCAGCCAUGCCGCGUGCAGGAUGAAGGCCUUCGGGUUGUAAACUGCUUUUGUACGGAACGAAAAGGUGCCUUCUAAUAAAGGGCGCUCAUGACGGUACCGGAAGAAUAAGCACCGGCUAACUACGUG
rnacentral:rRNA from 1 species